CCGGCUGUUCCGUCAGCCGUACCCUACUGGCGCAUGCGAUCUCGGUAACGAGUUGGUAUGAAGCCGCCGGGACAAUGUAACCUGCACGAACGUGCGGCAUCAACCCCGUGAGGGCGAGGUGCUUUCUAUCAGCAUCAGAUGGAUGAGGUG
rfam:Burkholderia ginsengiterrae strain DCY85 NODE_83, whole genome shotgun sequence.